AACGAACGCUAACGGCGUGCUUAACACAUGCAAGUCGCACGAGAAUUUCCGCCUUCGGGUGGAUUAGUAAAGUGGCGCACGGGUGAGUAACGCGUGGAUAAUCUGCCUUCAAGACGGGAAUAACAUUGCGAAAGCGAUGCUAAUACCGGAUAAGCUCACGAUUUGAUUAGUUGUGGGAAAAGAUGGCCUAGUCUAUGCUAUCGCUUGAAGAUGAGUCCGCGUACCAUUAGCUAGUUGGUAGGGUAAUGGCCUACCAAGGCAAUGAUGGUUAGCUGGCCUGAGAGGGCGGCCAGCCACACUGGGACUGAGAUACGGCCCAGACUCCUACGGGUGGCAG
rnacentral:rRNA from 1 species